rnacentral:rRNA from 1 species
AUUGAACGUUGGCGGCAUGCUUUACACAUGCAAGUCGAACGGUAACAGGCCGCAAGGUGCUGACGAGUGGCGAACGGGUGAGUAAUGCAUCGGAACGUGCCCAGUCGUGGGGGAUAACGCAGCGAAAGCUGCGCUAAUACCGCAUACGAUCUAUGGAUGAAAGCGGGGGACCGUAAGGCCUCGCGCGAUUGGAGCGGCCGAUGUCAGAUUAGGUAGUUGGUGGGGUAAAGGCUCACCAAGCCAACGAUCUGUAGCUGGUCUGAGAGGACGACCAGCCACACUGGGACUGAGACACGGCCCAGACUCCUACGGGAGGCAGCAGUGGGGAAUUUUGGACAAUGGGCGCAAGCCUGAUCCAGCAAUGCCGCGUGCAGGAAGAAGGCCUUCGGGUUGUAAACUGCUUUUGUACGGAACGAAACGGUCCGGGUUAAUACCCUGGGCUAAUGACGGUACCGUAAGAAUAAGCACCGGCUAACUACGUGCCAGCAGCCGCCGUAACAC